UACGUAGGGUGCAAGCGUUAAUCGGAAUUACUGGGCGUAAAGCGUGCGCAGGCGGUUUUGUAAGUCUGUCGUGAAAGCCCCGGGCUCAACCUGGGAAUGGCGAUGGAGACUGCAAGGCUAGAGUGUGUCAGAGGGGGGUGGAAUUCCACGUGUAGCAGUGAAAUGCGUAGAUAUGUGGAGGAACACCGAUGGCGAAGGCAGCCCCCUGGGCUAACACUGACGCUCAUGCACAAAAGCGUGGGGAGCAAACAGG
rnacentral:rRNA from 1 species